rnacentral:rRNA from 1 species
UACGAGAGGCCCAAACGUUAUUCGGAAUUACUGGGCUUAAAGAGUUCGUAGGCGGCAUGAAAGCAGGGUGUGAAAGCCCUCGGCUCACCGAGGAAUUGCGCUCUGAACUGUCGGUGCUUGAGGAACCUAGAGGUGAGCAGAACAGAUGGUGGAGCGGUGAAAUGCGUUGAUAUCAUCUGGGAAUACCGGAGGCGAAGGCGGCUCACUGGGGGUUUUCGUGACGCUGAGGAACGGAAAGCCAGGGUAGCGAACGGG